CCUUUCUCUUCCAACAAGAGCUUGGAGCCAAAGGGCCCCCUUCCCACUAUGAGCAACCAGGUGCUUUGUUGGGUGACCCUUUGUCUACUUGGAGCAGGAACCGUGGACAGUGGCGUCACUCAGACCCCAAAAUUCCGGUUCGUAGAGAAAGGACAGGAUGUGACCUUGGAAUGUGAGCAGAAUUUGAAUCACGACAACAUGUACUGGUACCGCCAGGACCCGGGGCAAGGGCUUAGACUGAUCUACUUCUCACUAAUGACUGAUGAUGUCCAGGACGGAGACAUAACUGAGGGCUAUACUGUAUCUAGGAAGAAAAAGGAAUUCUUUCCUCUCACCAUGAAAUCGACACAAAAGAACCAGACUGCUGUCUAUUUCUGUGCCAGCAGCUUAUUCGCCGCUCUAUUUUGGAACAGGCACCAGGCUCACUGUGACAGAAAACCUGAACAGGGUGAACCCACCCAACGUGGCUGUGUUUGAGCCAUCAGAAGCAGAGAUUGGCCAGAAGAAGAAGGCCACGCUCGUGUGCCUGGCCACAGGCUUCUACCCCGACCACGUGGAGCUGAGCUGGUGGGUGAAUGGGAAGGAGACCCGCAGCGGGGUGAGCACGGACCCUCAGCCCUACAAGGAGCAUCCUGACAAUGAAAACUCCAGCUACUGCCUCAGCAGCCGCCUGAGGGUCUCAGCUGCCUUCUGGCACAACCCGCGCAACCGCUUCCGCUGCCAAGUCCAGUUCUACGGGCUCACAGAUGAUGACCCAUGGGACCAGAAGGACCGGGCCAGACCUGUUACCCAGAACGUCAGUGCUGAAGUUUGGGGCAGAGCAGAUUGUGGCUUCACUUCUGUGUCCUAUCAGCAAGGGGUCCUGUCCGCCACCAUCCUCUAUGAGGUCCUGCUGGGCAAGGCCACCCUGUAUGCUGUGCUGGUCAGUGCCCUCGUGCUGAUGGCCAUGGUCAAGAAAAAGCAUUCCUGAAGGCACUCUGGAUGAAGAAGCAGGAACUUCCAAUCCCUUAUGGUGUCCACAUGGAUUCUCCUUCUGCCAGUGCUUCUGAAGAGCUGCUUUUACUUCUCUGCUCAUUCUAAUUCUACCCCCGACACUCACACACACGUGCAUGUUCAUGGCGGAAAUAUCCCUACCGCGGCUAUCCCCAGAGUGUGUAGAUGAUAGAAUCAAUAAACAUGCCAUGCUCAGGCCUGACUGACUUGUGCA